rnacentral:rRNA from 1 species
GAUGAACGCUGGCGGCGUGCCUAAUACACGCAAGUCGAGCGAACAGACGAGGAGCUUGCUCCUCUGACGUUAGCGGCGGACGGGUGAGUAACACGUGGAUAACCUACCUAUAAGACUGGGAUAACUUCGGGAAACCGGAGCUAAUACCGGAUAAUAUAUUGAACCGCAUGGUUCAAUAGUGAAAGACGGUUUUGCUGUCACUUAUAGAUGGAUCCGCGCCGCAUUAGCUAGUUGGUAAGGUAACGGCUUACCAAGGCAACGAUGCGUAGCCGACCUGAGAGGGUGAUCGGCCACACUGGAACUGAGACACGGUCCAGACUCCUACGGGAGGUAGCAGUAGGGAAUCUUCCGCAAUGGGCGAAAGCCUGACGGAGCAACGCCGCGUGAGUGAUGAAGGUCUUCGGAUCGUAAAACUCUGUUAUUAGGGAAGAACAAAUGUGUAAGUAACUAUGCACGUCUUGACGGUACCUAAUCAGAAAGCCACGGCUAACUACGUG